GCUUCAAAAGCGUAUAUUAAAGUUGUUGCGGUUAAAAAGCUCGUAGUUGGAUUUCUGUUGGGGACGACCUUUCCGCUCUCUGGGUGGAUUUCCUGGCUCGGCUUGGCAUCUAUGUUGAGAACGUUUCUGUACUUCAUUGUGUGGGGCGGUAUCAACAUCUUUUUACUUUGAGGAAUUAGAGUGUUUCAAGCAGCUUACGC
rnacentral:rRNA from 1 species